rnacentral:rRNA from 1 species
UUAAGUUGGGCACUCUAAGGAGACUGCCGGUGACAAACCGGAGGAAGGUGGGGAUGACGUCAAGUCCUCAUGGCCCUUAUGGGUUGGGCUACACACGUGCUACAAUGGCGACUACAGAGGGCAGCGAGGCGGCGACGCCAAGCGAAUCCCAAAAAGUCGUCUCAGUUCGGAUUGUUCUCUGCAACUCGAGAGCAUGAAGGCGGAAUCGCUAGUAAUCGCGGAUCAGCAUGCCGCGGUGAAUACGUUCCCGGGCCUUGUACACACCG